AUUUACCUCCGCUGGCAGAUCUUUCUUGAAGCAGUGCGAGGAAUCAUAUUCCAGCUGAUCUGGGAACUCUGCCACAGUUCCUCUGUAGGUCACUGUUGC